UUAACUGCUGAGCCAUCUCUCCACCCCCUAGUUUAAUUAUUUUUAAAGACUUAUUUAAUUACUUAUUUAUGUAUAUGUAUGUGUGUUUAUGUGCAUGCAAAUGAAUGACUUCAGAGGCCAGAAGAGAGCAUGCCCCGGAGCUGGAGUAACAAGUGGUUGCGGGCUGCCCAACAAGCCUUAGCAACUAAACCCUGGACCUGCAAGCACUCUUACCCACUGACCUAGCUCUCUAGCCCCUUAAUCAUUACGACUUUGUCCCUUGGGACACUAGGAUGAACCCAGGGCCUUGUACAUAAUAGAUGAUUCUCCUGUCUCAGCCUCCCAAGUCCUGGAAUUACAGACCACUAUACCCAACACCACUGGACAUUUUGUUUGAUAAUUUAUAUUAUUUUAAUUUCAUUUGUUUAUGUUUUUAGAAAGUGUCUUGCUACAUCUUGAACCAUUUUGUCUUGAACUCACAGAAAUCUAUCUGCCUCUGCCUCCAGAGCACUAGGAUUAACUCAGGGAUUUGUCUAUCUCUGCCUCCUGUGCUGGCAUCAAAGGCAUGUGCCACCACCUUGGCUAACAUGUGGGUUAUUUCUGAAUUUUUCUUUCACAACUGAAAAAUCAUAAUAACUGAAGAAAAUAGUGAAUAUUUCUGAAAAAAAUUACUUUUACUUAUGUGCAUGGGUGUUUUGCCUGCAGUAAAUGUACUGUAUGAACGUCCAGGACUUAUGGAGGCCAGAGGAGGGAACUUCUCUCGUACUGGAGUUACUGGUGGUUGUGAGCAGUCACAUAGGCACUGGAAACAAAACUCAAAUCCAGAACAAAACUGUUGACCCACUUCUCCUGUAGUGAAUAAUUCUGUACAAAUAAUGUAAUUCCUUUUCAUUAGUUUCUCCAAGAUGACACAGAAGUCUAAAGAUGCAUGUUUGCAGGGCAAAGACCAAAACACUCUAGAUAUAAAGCACUCCAUUCUUUAUAUCAGCACUGUUUAGCUGCUCAAUAAGAGUAUCUGUAAUGGUACAAAUUUUAAAAUGUUUAUUAUUAUUGUGUGUGCUAAUGUGUGGGCCAUACAUGCCAUAUGUCCUCGUGGAGGUCAAGGGACAACGGUUAGGGAGACAGCUCUUUCUCUCUACCAUAGGUUCCAAGGACUGAACUCAGGUCCUAAGGCUUGGAGGGCAGCAUUUUCAUGGUCUCAGCCGUCUUGCCAGUCAAAGCCAUGCUUUAUAAUUAAUGCCAUCCAGUGUGGUAGUCAAAAGCCAUGGCAUGGCUGGGGAAAUGACUCAGGGUAAAGCGCUGGCUGUACAAUCACAGGGCCAGAAUUCAGAUUCCCCAGCCGUCAUGGUAAAAAGUCAGAGGAAAGCGUCAGGGAAAAUGGUAUACAUUCAGUUUCAGCUCUCAGAGGCAGAGGGAGGGAGAGCUCUGUAAAUUCUAGACCAAGCUGGUCUACAUAGUUCCAGGCCAGCCAGGAUUACAUAGUAAGACCCUAUUUCAAACCAAAACCAAAACUGAAUCGGGGGAGUGUGUCAGCCUGCUUGUGUCAGCCUGCUUGUAAUCCUAUUCUGGAAGAGGAAACAGGCAGUCCUGAGAGCAAACCAGCUAGCCAAUAUAAGGCCCACUGAAGAAGACACUCAAUAUAUAUAGAUUUUAGGCCUUCACACACAUAGAAUCAUGACAGAUUUCCUGAGAACACAACUCUUUCUUCAAGGCCGCUUUGUACUUGGUCUGUAACGUUCUGGAAAUAACCUGUAUUCUCCUAGUGCAUCACUCUUUGAUUAGCUUCCUGUUGACUGUGCCCCAUAAUAUUUCCCCCUGAAAGCAGUACAUGAGAUGCUGUACCUGAUAAGCUUGCCUGGCCUAAGACAUACUUCACGUGAGAUCUCCUAGCCCUCCUGUUCUGUCUCUUUUAUCCCCGAUCCCCUGGCUCUUCCUUCUGAGGACCCUGUCACUGAAGAAUGACUUGCUGGCCCAGGUCUUCCAAACACUGGCGCUAUCGGAGUGAGCCACCAUGCCUAAGUUCAUGGCAACUCUUGAGAUGUCAAUUCCCAGCAACCACAUGGUGGCUCACAACAUCUGUAAUGGGAUCUGACUCCUUCUCCUGUACAUGAAGACAGAUCGCUCAUAUACAUAAAAUACAUGAAUAAAUAAAUCUUAAAAAAAAUAAUCCCAAUAGGAACCAAUUUGUCCAGAGAGGUUUCCGUAGUAAGAUCUCUGUGACUUGACUAUGACAAGUCAGGGCCAAGUGCUUCCGCAGGCCCUCCCAUCAAACACGAGAAGGAUAGUUUACCUUGCUUUACUUCUUCUGAAGCCAUGGAGUCCCCCACCUCAAAAUCCGCGCUGAUCCUCUUCCUGAGGAAGCGUAAGUACAGUUCACUUCGCGCAUUCAUCAGGGUAACCUCAGUCAAGACAGGGUCCAGCUCCCUGAGACACAGAGCAUAGGGAA
ensembl:lincRNA Gm26816 predicted gene, 26816